rnacentral:rRNA from 1 species
GAUGAACGCUGGCGGCGUGCCUAAUACAUGCAAGUAGAACGCUGAAGGAGGAGCUUGCUCUUUCCGGAUGAGUUGCGAACGGGUGAGUAACGCGUAGGUAACCUGCCUGGUAGCGGGGGAUAACUAUUGGAAACGAUAGCUAAUACCGCAUAACAGUAGAUAUUGCAUGAUAUUUGCUUGAAAGGGGCAAUUGCUCCACUACCAGAUGGACCUGCGUUGUAUUAGCUAGUUGGUGAGGUAACGGCCCACCAAGGCGACGAUACAUAGCCGACCUGAGAGGGUGAUCGGCCACACUGGGACUGAGACACGGCCCAGACUCCUACGGGAGGCAGCAGUAGGGAAUCUUCGGCAAUGGACGGAAGUCUGACCGAGCAACGCCGCGUGAGUGAAGAAGGUUUUCGGAUCGUAAAGCUCUGUUGUAAGAGAAGAACGAGUGUGAGAGUGGAAAGUUCACACUGUGACGGUAUCUUACCAGAAAGGGACGGCUAACUACGUG